AUCGGACAACGGCAAACGAAUCGGGAGGCCAACAUGUUCUUCGACAAUGUGGUUAUCGCUGGUGUGGUAACGGUCGGGUUGAUGUUCGCGUUCUUUGCCGGUCUGGGCAUUUUCAUCUGGAAGGACUCGAACAAGCGCAAGCCGCGCUGACCUUCCAGGUUCACGGGCACGCAAGGCAUUUAGGGCGACUUCGGUCGCCCAUUUUUUUU
rnacentral:sRNA from 17 species